CCUACGGUGCGCUGCAGUGGGGAAUAUUGGACAAUGGGCGAAAGCCUGAUCCAGCCAUGCCGCGUGUGUGAAGAAGGCCUUCGGGUUGUAAAGCACUUUCAGUGGGGAAGAAAGCCUUGGGGCUAAUACCCUCGAGGAAGGACAUCACCCACAGAAGAAGCACCGGCUAACUCCGUGCCAGCAGCCGCGGUAAUACGGAGGGUGCGAGCGUUAAUCGGAAUUACUGGGCGUAAAGCGCGCGUAGGCGGUCUGAUAAGCCGGUUGUGAAAGCCCCGGGCUCAACCUGGGAACGGCAUCCGGAACGGUCAGGCUAGAGUGCAGGAGAGGAAGGUAGAAUUCCCGGUGUAGCGGUGAAAUGCGUAGAGAUCGGGAGGAAUACCAGUGGCGAAGGCGGCCUUCUGGACUGACACUGACGCUGAGGUGCGAAAGCGUGGGUAGCAAACAGGAUUAGAUACCCGAGUAGUC
rnacentral:rRNA from 1 species